rnacentral:tRNA from 1 species
GAUAGAGCUCAGUUGGUAGAGUGUUUGCCUCGUAUGCACAAGGCCCUGGGUUCAAUCGCCAGCACUACA